AUUGAACGCUGGCGGCAUGCCUUACACAUGCAAGUCGAACGGCAGCACGGGUGCUUGCACCUGGUGGCGAGUGGCGAACGGGUGAGUAAUACAUCGGAACAUGUCCUGUAGUGGGGGAUAGCCCGGCGAAAGCCGGAUUAAUACCGCAUACGAUCUACGGAUGAAAGCGGGGGACCUUCGGGCCUCGCGCUAUAGGGUUGGCCGAUGGCUGAUUAGCUAGUUGGUGGGGUAAAGGCCUACCAAAGCGACGAUCAGUAGCUGGUCUGAGAGGACGACCAGCCACACUGGGACUGAGACACGGCCCAGACUCCUACGGGAGGCAGCAGUGGGGAAUUUUGGACAAUGGGCGAAAGCCUGAUCCAGCAAUGCCGCGUGUGUGAAGAAGGCCUUCGGGUUGUAAAGCACUUUUGUCCGGAAAGAAAUCCUUGGCCCUAAUACGGUCGGGGGAUGACGGUACCGGAAGAAUAAGCACCGGCUAACUACGUG
rnacentral:rRNA from 1 species